rnacentral:rRNA from 1 species
UGUUUGGUUAGUCCCGUAACGAGCGCAACCCUUGUCCCUAUUUGCCAGCGAUUCGGUCGGGAACUCUAGGGAGACUGCCGGUGACAAACCGGAGGAAGGUGGGGACGACGUCAAGUCAUCAUGGCCCUUACGGGUAGGGCUACACACGUGCUACAAUGGUCAGUACAAAGGGUUGCGAACUUGCGAGAGUGAGCCAAUCCCAGAAAGCUGAUCUCAGUCCGGAUCGGAGUCUGCAACUCGACUCCGUGAAGUCGGAAUCGCUAGUAAUCGUGAAUCAAAAUGUCACGGUGAAUACGUUCCCGGGCCUUGUGCACACCGCGCCCCUCACCCUGGGAGAGGGGAGGGCCCCAAAAGGUGAUAGCCAACCUCUCGGGAGGGAGAACCCACGGGUGGGGGUUCUCGACUGGGGGGAAAGCCCUACAAAGGAGCCGUAUGUGAACCUGCGGGUGGAUCAC